CAAUUAACUAUUUCGACAUUGAUUUGCCUGCCACAAACCCCUUGUGUGCAGCAGAGAGUUCUGGGGCAUGUUACAAGGGGCACAUUCAAUGACUUAGGUCUACGCUGGUUUUCACUUUUGCUCCACAAAGAGCAUAGCCGCUAGGCCCCCCCCCCCCUCAGUGCUCCCCAGCAGUUACACAUUAGGAGGUGAGGCCAGCAGUGGAAGGCAAACUGCCUUUUGCGUGGAAACCCAACUGCCACCCUUGAAAUCAACUCCCGCCUCAAAACAAAAAUAAAAAUGCUUUCAAAGAGCAGCAGGAUUUUCCUGAGCACGGUCUUCACAUCACGGAGAAAGCCCUUCCUGAGGGAAAGAAUAUACUCCUGAGCAAAUCAUGAAGGCCCUUUGAUGUUUGAAGUUUACUGAGCCAGCACAAGGCUAUGGUUGGGAAGAUGGCUGUUCCUGAAGUUUCGAACAACUGAUUCACAACUGCAGUCUUCAGAGUCAGUACUAAGAAAUGAAAGUGAGCCUACAAAAUCCUAUUUAUGUUAAGCUCACAUAAAAAAUGCAAAGGUCACAAAAUUGCAAGUAAACGAGUUAAAUCCUAUGUAGUCAGAGUCUCUGAAAUGGCUGGCUUAAGCAGUUUGAAGAUUGAUAUGUGCACACAGCUUAUGAUUAACCAACCUCCACCCUCUCAAAAAGACCUUUUCUUGACCUUACAGACAGUUUAAUUUAUUUUCUUGAAGUAUACUCAGAGCCUCCCUAUUAAUUACAUACUGUGCAUAACACUGAAUGCUGUACAGCCGUACUUAAUUAGAAGGCUUAAUGCUAAUGUUGUUAUGAAAUAUUAUUACUCUUAGAUAUUCAUUGCCAAGACAAGCUGAUAUACAUCACUGAUUCUCCCAGGAUGCCACAUCCCAGAGCUCUUUUAGGGAUAAGAUUAUAUAUGGUGUAGUCCCAUUCUGUGACUGUAUUUCUCCUCUACAAGCACUUUGGAAGCACUCCACCUACCAAGAGCAGCGCAAGAGAAAGUGCACCAUGAUCUGAUUGAGCCAGAAUGAAGUCUCUACGGAGAGAAAGAAACAACGCUGAACAGACUUUGCUUCAGCAUGAAGGAGUCACAUGUCUGGUUUCCCAGCUACACCCACAGGUUUGUACUAUUGGAGGCUAUUAUUAUUGCUGCUGCUAUUACUACAUACUAACAGAAAUCUCAGUUACCAGAGUGUGGUUGCAUAAGUAACCAAUACAUCAGCACCCAGAUACAAGGAGGCAGCACUGGUAUGUGCAGGCUAACCCAGUGGUUCACAGAAGUUACUCCCCUCCCCCCAAAAGAAAAUCCUUUAGGGGAGGGGAAAACCUAAAAGUGGAGAGACCAAAAACUGAGUAUAUUUAGAAGGCAUGGAAUGCUGACUGGCUGCAGAGAGGGGAUGAGAAACCAGGAAUGGGGCAAGGGAAUAGCUUCAACACUUAACAGUGAGUGCGCACGCUGCACCAUUUUGUUGUAGGUCCCACUUGUUAUCAUAAUAUUUAACAUUUGCAUAGUGCUUUCAAAUAUUCAGAGUGCUCCUCAUGCAUUAUCUAGUUAUAAUCCUUACAACAACCCUGCAAGGUGAAGUGAGGAUUAUUCCCCCCCCCCCCCAGAGCAGAUGGGGGACAGUG